UACGUAGGGUCCGAGCGUUGUCCGGAAUUAUUGGGCGUAAAGGGCUCGUAGGCGGUCUGUCGCGUCGGGAGUGAAAACUUACAGCUUAACUGUGAGCGUGCUUCCGAUACGGGCAAACUAGAGUAUUGCAGGGGAGACUGGAAUUCCUGGUGUAGCGGUGAAAUGCGCAGAUAUCAGGAGGAACACCGGUGGCGAAGGCGGGUCUCUGGGCAAUAACUGACGCUGAGGAGCGAAAGCGUGGGGAGCGAACAGG
rnacentral:rRNA from 1 species